UACGUAGGGUGCGAGCGUUAAUCGGAAUUACUGGGCGUAAAGCGUGCGCAGGCGGUUAGCCGUGUCCGAUGUGAAAGCCCCGGGCUCAACCUGGGAAUGGCAUUGGAAACUGGCUGGCUGGAGUGUGGCAGAGGGGGGUGGAAUUCCACGUGUAGCAGUGAAAUGCGUAGAGAUGUGGAGGAACACCGAUGGCGAAGGCAGCCCCCUGGGCCAUUACUGACGCUGAGGAGCGAAAGCGUGGGGAGCGAACAGG
rnacentral:rRNA from 1 species